GACGAACGCUGGCGGCGUGCUUAACACAUGCAAGUCGAACGAUGAAGCGGUGCUUGCACCGUGGAUUAGUGGCGAACGGGUGAGUAAUACGUGAGUGACCUACCUUUGACUCUGGGAUAAGCCUGGGAAACUGGGUCUAAUACCGGAUACGACCAAUCUCUGCAUGGGGUGUUGGUGGAAAGCGUUAUGGAGUGGUUUUAGAUGGGCUCACGGCCUAUCAGCUUGUUGGUGAGGUAAUGGCUUACCAAGGCGACGACGGGUAGCCGGCCUGAGAGGGUGACCGGCCACACUGAGACUGAGACACGGCCCAGACUCCUACGGGAGGCAGCAGUGGGGAAUAUUGCACAAUGGGCGCAAGCCUGAUGCAGCGACGCCGCGUGAGGGAUGACGGCCUUCGGGUUGUAAACCUCUGUUAGCAUCGAAGAAGCGAAAGUGACGGUAGGUGCAGAGAAAGCGCCGGCUAACUACGUGCCAGCAGCCGCGGUAAUACGUAGGGCGCGAGCGUUGUCCGGAAUUAUUGGGCGUAAAGAGCUUGUAGGCGGCUGGUCGCGUCUGCUGUGAAGGCCGGGGCUUAACUCCGGUUUUGCAGUGGGUACGGGCUAACUAGAGUGCAGUAGGGGAGACUGGAAUUCCUGGUGUAGCGGUGGAAUGCACAGAUAUCAGGAGGAACACCGAUGGCGAAGGCAGGUCUCUGGGCUGUAACUGACGCUGAGAAGCGAAAGCAUGGGGAGCGAACAGGAUUAGAUACCCUGGUAGUCCAUGCCGUAAACGUUGGGCACUAGGUGUGGGGGACAUUCCACGUUUUCCGCGCCGUAGCUAACGCAUUAAGUGCCCCGCCUGGGGAGUACGGCCGCAAGGCUAAAACUCAAAGGAAUUGACGGGGGCCCGCACAAGCGGCGGAGCAUGCGGAUUAAUUCGAUGCAACGCGAAGAACCUUACCAAGGCUUGACAUGCAUUAGAUCGCGUCAGAGAUGGCGUUUCCCUUCGGGGCUGGUGUACAGGUGGUGCAUGGUUGUCGUCAGCUCGUGUCGUGAGAUGUUGGGUUAAGUCCCGCAACGAGCGCAACCCUCGUUCUAUGUUGCCAGCGGUUCGGCCGGGGACUCAUAGGAGACUGCCGGGGUCAACUCGGAGGAAGGUGGGGAUGACGUCAAAUCAUCAUGCCCCUUAUGUCUUGGGCUUCACGCAUGCUACAAUGGCCGGUACAGAGGGUUGCGAUACUGUGAGGUGGAGCUAAUCCCUUAAAGCCGGUCUCAGUUCGGAUUGGGGUCUGCAACUCGACCCCAUGAAGUCGGAGUCGCUAGUAAUCGCAGAUCAGCAACGCUGCGGUGAAUACGUUCCCGGGCCU
rnacentral:rRNA from 1 species